AUUGAACGCUGGCGGCAUGCCUUACACAUGCAAGUCGAACGGUAACGGGCCUUCGGGUGCCGACGAGUGGCGAACGGGUGAGUAAUGCAUCGGAACGUACCCUUCAGUGGGGGAUAACGUAGCGAAAGUUACGCUAAUACCGCAUAUUCUGUGAGCAGGAAAGCAGGGGAACGCAAGACCUUGCGCUGAUUGAACGGCCAAUGUCAGAUUAGCUAGUUGGUGAGGUAAAGGCUCACCAAGGCGACGAUCUGUAGCGGGUCUGAGAGGAUGAUCCGCCACACUGGAACUGAGGCACGGUCCAGACUCCUACGGGAGGCAGCAGUGGGGAAUUUUGGACAAUGGGGGCAACCCUGAUCCAGCCAUGCCGCGUGAGUGAAGAAGGCCUUCGGGUUGUAAAGCUCUUUCGGUCGGGAAGAAAUCGCAUGGGUUAAUACCCUGUGCGGAUGACGGUACCGGCAUAAGAAGCACCGGCUAACUACGUGCCAGCAGCCGCGGUAACAC
rnacentral:rRNA from 1 species